rnacentral:rRNA from 1 species
UUUUUAUGGAGAGUUUGAUCCUGGCUCAGGAUGAACGCUGGCGGCGUGCCUAAUACAUGCAAGUCGAGCGAACAGACGAGGAGCUUGCUCCUCUGACGUUAGCGGCGGACGGGUGAGUAACACGUGGAUAACCUACCUAUAAGACUGGGAUAACUUCGGGAAACCGAGCUAAUACCGGAUAAUAUAUUGAACCGUCAUGGUUCAAUAGUGAAAG